GACACAGAAAGAUCUCUAUAAGAGCUAAGCCACCGUUGUGCUGCCUCCCCAGCUAGUUCUGCAAACCAGCUUUCUGCCUGUGUGAGCACAGACCCAACAAAGGAAUUGCUUGAAACUGGAAAUUCUUGCACCACUCCCUUUCCAGCGUGUCUCCUGAUGCUGACUAGUCGCCACCAUGCCCUCCAUCCUGAAGUGCAUCUGAGGGCAUUUCUAACUCAAUAUUGGAGUUCUUUAAAGAAGUACAUUCAUCACAGGACUUGCAUUUAUCUUUGGUGGUUCUCCCUUCCUCCCUGUCCCUCUGGUGAUAACAUUGGAUAUUUUUCUCUGCAUCCUACAGAUGCUGGUGAACAGCGUAAGUUUUGCUGCCUGCUCACCUUCAGCUUUUUCAGCAGCUCCCAACUCAGCAGCUUCCUUCCAUUUUCCUCCUCACUGCACCGAGGACAAUACUGUUUCAGCAUGCUGAGUAUACCGCAGCGCAGCAUUGCAGAUGUGCAGCACCUGCCAGAAUGACUCCCUUAUCUUCAGCUGGAACCUAAGACAAAGAAAAGAAUUUGCUGUAAUGAGCCACUUAUGGAGAAUUUCAUCUCGAUAUUUGCAGCGCUAGCACAGCAUCACAGUCAGCAUCACAACUUUUCUACCAGAGUUAAGGAGAGCACCCAGAGGAGGAUGGGAGCCUUGAGGUCCU
rnacentral:lncRNA from 1 species